GCCCCUGAUCCACCGGCCGGUGUCGAGUUCGGGCCGCGUUCACGCGAACCCGGACGAGAGGGAACCCGGUGCGAAUCCGGGACUGUCCCGCAACGGUGAAUGGGCGCGCCCAUGAGUCCGAAGACCUGCCGAUUGUGCCGGGUACGCC
rnacentral:ncRNA from 21 species